rnacentral:rRNA from 1 species
UGGGGAAUAUUGGACAAUGGGCGAAAGCCUGAUCCAGCCAUGCCGCGUGUGUGAAGAAGGUCUUCGGAUUGUAAAGCACUUUAAGUUGGGAGGAAGGGCAUUAACCUAAUACGUUAGUGUUUUGACGUUACCGACAGAAUAAGCACCGGCUAACUCUGUGCCAGCAGCCGCGGUAAUACAGAGGGUGCAAGCGUUAAUCGGAAUUACUGGGCGUAAAGCGCGCGUAGGUGGUUUGUUAAGUUGGAUGUGAAAUCCCCGGGCUCAACCUGAGAACUGCAUUCAAAACUGACUGACUAGAGUAUGGUAGAGGGUGGUGGAAUUUCCUGUGUAGCGGUGAAAUGCGUAGAUAUAGGAAGGAACACCAGUGGCGAAGGCGACCACCUGGACUAAUACUGACACUGAGGUGCGAAAGCGUGGGGAGCAAACA